UCGGGUUGUAAAGCACUUUUGUCCGGAAAGAAAACUUCUGCAUUAAUACUGCGGGAAGAUGACGGUACCGGAAGAAUAAGCACCGGCUAACUACGUGCCAGCAGCGCGGUAAUCGUAGGGUGCGAGCGUUAAUCGGAAUUACUGGGCGUAAAGCGUGCGCAGGCGGUUCGUUAAGACAGAUGUGAAAUCCCCGGGCUUAACCUGGGAACUGCAUUUGUGACUGGCGAGCUAGAGUAUGGCAGAGGGGGGUAGAAUUCCACGUGUAGCAGUGAAAUGCGUAGAGAUGUGGAGGAAUACCGAUGGCGAAGGCAGCCCCCUGGGCCAAUACUGACGCUCAUGCACGAAAGCGUGGGGAGCAAACAGGAUUAGAUACCCUGGUAGUCCACGCCCUAAACGAUGUCAACUAGUUGUUGGGGAUUCAUUUCCUUAGUAACGUAGCUAACGCGUGAAGUUGACCGCCUGGGGAGUACGGUCGCAAGAUUAAAACUCAAAGGAAUUGACGGGGACCCGCACAAGCGGUGGAUGAUGUGGAUUAAUUCGAUGCAACGCGAAAAACCUUACCUACCCUUGACAUGGUCGGAACCCUGCUG
rnacentral:rRNA from 1 species